rnacentral:rRNA from 1 species
CAGGCUUAACACAUGCAAGUCGAGGGGCAGCAUUUUAGUUUGCUUGCAAACUAAAGAUGGCGACCGGCGCACGGGUGAGUAACACGUAUCCAACCUGCCGAUAACUCGGGGAUAGCCUUUCGAAAGAAAGAUUAAUAUCCGAUAGUAUAUUUUCUCCGCAUGGCGAGAAUAUUAAAGAAUUUCGGUUAUCGAUGGGGAUGCGUUCCAUUAGUUUGUUGGCGGGGUAACGGCCCACCAAGACUACGAUGGAUAGGGGUUCUGAGAGGAAGGUCCCCCACAUUGGAACUGAGACACGGUCCAAACUCCUACGGGAGGCAGCAGUGAGGAAUAUUGGUCAAUGGACGAGAGUCUGAACCAGCCAAGUAGCGUGAAGGAUGACUGCCCUAUGGGUUGUAAACUUCUUUUAUAUGGGAAUAAAGUAUUCCACGUGUGGGAUUUUGUAUGUACCAUAUGAAUAAGGAUCGGCUAACUCCGUGCCAGCAGCCGCGGUAAUACGGAGGAUCCGAGCGUUAUCCGGAUUUAUUGGGUUUAAAGGGAGCGUAGGUGGAUUGUUAAGUCAGUUGUGUAAGUUUGCGGCUCAACCGUAAAAUUGCAGUUGAAACUGGCAGUCUUGAGUACAGUAGAGGUGGGCGGAAUUCGUGGUGUAGCGGUGAAAUGCUUAGAUAUCACGAAGAA